CGCCGGGGUCCACCACCACCACCACCCCCACGAUGAGGUAGUGCUCCUCCAGGACAACGUUAGUGACCAGGGCCACCAGGUCCAGAGCCUCCUGCUCAGAUCCCUCCAACUCCACGACCACCACCAACAGUAACAGAGAAGUAAGAAGGUGGAGGCUGCAUGUGAUACUUCGUCGACACAGCAGUCAGGGCAGCCAAAAGCCAAACAGCCAGACUAACAAGUUAGGGCCUGGGCUGAACCGUGUGAGGACCACGGGGUGGAGGGUUCCAACUUCUUUGAAGCCGGAGGGUGAGAAUUCCAAAAAACCUUAUCUGAUGGAUGAUGUAAGUUCCCUGUAUUUAACAAUUUGUCAUCCUUACUCCUGUGUUUUAAUCUGAACUGGCGCACUGUACAAUGGAUGUUUCGCUGCUCUGUUGACAGUGUGUAGCCAGAGCCAAGCUAGCAAUGAGGGCGCAUCAAGCCAAGAUGGAGUAAUGUUUGUUUUUCACCCAGGGAUUAGUCUUUGCCAUGACACAGAAGCUGAGAGUGUGAUGUAACAAAUGGACACAGAGCAUUUCUGCCAACAUGAUGACAAAACAUACUCACCUGCAGACAGAUGGCUACAUUCACUCUACACCCAAAGGUGGUGCUGACGGCGCGAGGUGAAAGUCCCAGGUCUUUGAAGAUCUUUGAGAAGAGGCACCACAGAGCAAAGCCAAGGCCACAGUAAGGGUCGAGACAGAUGGCGAUCUGCCGCGAAGGGUAGAGCUCACACUGCAGCUUGAUGGAGCGACACAAGGCACUGGUGGCAGCGUGAGACAUCUACAAGAGACG